UUUUCGCUUGUAAGUUAUUUUACAGUUCUUGUUUUCUACCUUUUUCUUGGUAAUGUUUACGAACACCGUCUUUGAAGCGCUCUCUAUUACCGUUGUUUUAUGUCCGCCUCUGCAAGCGGCUGCAAAGCGGAUGCCACAACGAAGAAAUAAAAUAAAAACAACAGCGGUGGGCGCAAUCCUAGCACGGUAUCAGUAGGAAGCGUUGCGAACCCGGUCAAAAAAAAAAAAAAAAAAAAAACUGCUACUGCAUUUUCCCUAUCCCAUUGUAUCGCACUUCGUCGAAGGCCCCCGUCGGGAUAAAAGUACUUUCUUUAUGCGCACUGCAUUGGCAUACGUUGAUUGCCUAACCGCCCUUCGCUCUUCGGCGUCCUUACCGACCUGUUACGAGUAUCGGCUACAUUUUGGGACAAUAUCUUAUCUUUUAGAGCAUCCACCACGGCUACAUUGCAGCUGGUCCUCUCGACAAUCGCUCGACAAUACGUACGUUAUGCGCAUGCGCGUCGAAAGAGAGAUGCGCCCUUUCCACAGCGGAAGGAGAAUUGUUUCAUAUCGCUGUACUCCGGGCGCGGGCGUGGCCACCUUCCCCGGUCCCUCUCGGCCCCAGAGAAGCCAGCUAGCACGGUUCAAGGACCAGAAGAGUGGCGAGGAAGGGACAUUUCCUGUUGCACCAUCCUGUACUCGGCGUGACCUCACCAUACACCUGUGCAUAAAGCGGUCGUAGGGAGCAGCUCCACCGUCUAGCACCUGGCACGCCCCCGGAACGAAGGACACUUUGGCAACAGGCUGUGCGCCAACGUGCCUGCUGAAAGCUCCUUACAGUCCGUCUACCACGUGAAAGUUCAUAUGCAAGUCAGCCAGUCCUUGAACGCUUGCAAGCUCUUGGUCUGGAUGUCGGGCCUGCCAUUGGCGCACACCAGCGCUCCGUCCGCCUUGACCAC